UACGAAGGGGGCUAGCGUUGUUCGGAAUUACUGGGCGUAAAGCGCGUGUAGGCGGGUCUUUAAGUCAGGGGUGAAAUGCCAAGGCUCAACCUUGGAACUGCCUUUGAUACUGGAGACCUUGAGUCCGGGAGAGGUGAAUGGAAUUGCGAGUGUAGAGGUGAAAUUCGUAGAUAUUCGCAAGAACACCAGUGGCGAAGGCGGCUCACUGGCCCGGAACUGACGCUGAGAUGCGAAAGCGUGGGGAGCAAACAGG
rnacentral:rRNA from 1 species